rnacentral:sRNA from 1 species
AGCAGCCGCGGUAAUUCCAGCUCCAAUAGCGUAUAUUAAAGUUGUUGCAGUUAAAAAGCUCGUAGUUGAAUUUCGGGGUUAGUAGGUUGGUCAUGCCUCUGGUAUGUACUGGUCUCGCUGAUUCCUCCUUCCUGAUGAACCGUAAUGCCAUUAAUUUGGUGUUGCGGGGAAUCUGGACUGUUACUUUGAAAAAAUUAGAGUGUUUAAAGCAGGCUAACGCUUGAAUACAUUAGCAUGGAAUAAUGAAAUAGGACGUUCGAUCCUAUUUUGUUGGUUUCUAGGAUUGACGUAAUGAUUAAUAGGGAUAGUUGGGGGCAUUAGUAUUCAAUUGUCAGAGGUGAAAUUCUUGGAUUUAUUGAAGACUAACUACUGCGAAAGCAUUUGCCAAGGAUGUUUUCAUUAAUCAAGAACGAAAGUUAGGGGAUCGAAGACGAUCAGAUACCGUCGUAGUCUUAACCAUAAACUAUAGCCGACUAGGGAUCGGAUGAUGUUAAUUUUUUAAUGACUCAUUCGGCGCCUU